UGCCUGUUGGCCUCCCAAGAUGUUGGAACUACAGUUUCGGAGACUCAAAAUCUACUUCAUUAGGUGACUGACACAGGCUGUAUCUUGCUGGGGAUGAUGGCAUUCACCUCCUACAUGCACUAGAGUUGUAGAAAUCAUGGACAGGCACAAGCCACGUUUUUCAAUGAUGGUCUAAACCAUUGAAUUCAUGGUGUAGUCGUAGCCCACAUUGGUAAGAUUCUGGUCAUAAGCAUAAUAUUCAAUGACUAUUCUAUCAGUUCCAGUUUUUGGUUGUAGACAACGCUCUUAAUAAUUUAAGUAAUUAAUUUUAAAAUUUAAAUUAAUGCAAAUGUGCUCAUCUCAUGGAGGGCCCAAGAACCAGGCUUGAAGAAUCUGUACCACUGACUCUGGAGGGUCCUACUCUGCUAGAACCUUUGUUACUGCCACAUUGAGAGCUGGAUAUCUAUUUAUCAUCACCUACCACCCUCAGCA
rnacentral:lncRNA from 1 species